GACGAACGCUGGCGGCGCGCCUAACACAUGCAAGUCGAGCGGGGAUAUGAUUUCGGUUGUAUCCAAGCGGCGGACGGGUGAGUAACGCGUGAGGAACCUGCCCUUCAGCGGGGGAUAGCGUCUGGAAACGGACGGUAAUACCGCAUAACGUAUAUUGAAGGCAUCUGAGAUAUACCAAAGGAUUUAUUCACUGAAGGAUGGACUCGCGUCCGAUUAGGUAGUUGGUGAGGUAAGGGCCCACCAAGCCCGCGAUCGGUAGCCGGACUGAGAGGUUGAUCGGCCACAUUGGGACUGAGACACGGCCCAGACUCCUACGGGAGGCAGCAGUGGGGGAUAUUGCACAAUGGAGGGAACUCUGAUGCAGCGACGCCGCGUGAGGGAAGAAGGUCUUCGGAUUGUAAACCUCUGUCUUCUGGGACGAAAGAAAUGACGGUACCAGAGGAGGAAGCCACGGCUAACUACGUG
rnacentral:rRNA from 1 species